rnacentral:rRNA from 1 species
UUCGUGGAGUGAUCUGUCUGCUUAAUUGCGUUUCAAAACAACUGAUACACAGAGUCUUGGCACAGUUCAGUUUAAUGGCGUCGAGUAUCUUUGAUUUCGACAGUAGUCCAACUCGGUUCGCCAGGGUCUCUUUUGAACGCAACGGACGUGAUCGCAACCCUUUGUUGAGUGAUGUCAGCACUCUACGUCUAUCCUAGCUCGUUGAUCGCAAGUGAGAGUUGGGUGGGCAAACUCAGGGGACAGCUUCAACUAUUCUUCUUCAAACUAGAGGAAGGUUGCGGCAAUAACAGGUCUGUGAUGC